AUUGAACGCUGGCGGCAUGCCUAACACAUGCAAGUCGAACGGUCACAGGAAGAGGCUUGCUUCUUUGCUGACGAGUGGCGGACGGGUGUGUCAUGUCUGGGAAACUGCCUGAUGGCUGGGGUUAACUACUGGAAACGGUAGCUAAUACCGCAUAACGUCUCAACACCAAGGAUGGGGACUUUCGGGCGUCUUUCCAUUCACUUUUCCCUGAUUCGAGUCGGCAUUAGCUAGUUGGUAGGGUAACGGCGUACCAAGGCAACGAUUCAUAGCCGGUCUGAGAGGAUGACCGGCCACACUGGAACUGAGACACGGUCCAGACUCCUACGGGAGGCAGCAGUAGGGAAUAUUGCGCAAUGGGCGCAAGCCUGAUGGAGCCAUGCCGCGUGUAUGAAGAAGGUCUUCGGAUUGUAAAGCACUUUCAGCGGGGAAGAACAGAGGAAAGUGAAUACCUGUACUUAUUGACGUUACCUAAACAAAAAGCCCCGGCUAACUCCGUG
rnacentral:rRNA from 1 species